rnacentral:rRNA from 1 species
AACGAACGCUGGCGGCAGGCCUAACACAUGCAAGUCGAGCGCCCUGCAAGGGGAGCGGCGGACGGGUGAGUAACGCGUGGGAAUUUUUCCUGGAGUACGGAACAACCGAGGGAAACUUCGGCUAAUACCGUAUGAUGCCGAGAGGCCAAAGAUUUAUCGCUCUGGGGUGAGCCCGCGUCAGAUUAGGUAGUUGGUGGGGUAAAGCCUACCAAGCCUGCGAUCUGUAGCUGGUCUGAGAGGACGAUCAGCCACACUGGGACUGAGACACGGCCCAGACUCCUAUGGGAGGCAGCAGUGGGGAAUCUUGCGCAAUGGGCGAAAGCCUGACGCAGCCAUGCCGCGUGAGUGAAGAAGGUCUUAGGAUUGUAAAGCUCUUUCGCCCGUGACGAUGAUGACGGUAACGGGA